CGUACAACUCUUAUCGAUAAGCCAUUGGAGGGCAAGUCUGGUGCCAGCAGCCGCGGUAAUUCCAGCUCCAAUAGCGUAUAUUAACGUUGUUGCAGUUAAAAAGCUCGUAGUUGAAGUGAGGGAGUGUGUAGUAGGACCGACUUGAUCGGAACUGCUGCAACCUCCCCCCUCCAAUCGGUGUAGUGGGGUAUUCAGUUAUUCUACUACUCCUUUGGUCGUUUACUGUGAGAAAAUUAGAGUGUUCAAAGCGGGCGUUUGUUUGAAUAGAUUAGCAUGGAAUAAUGAUUGAAGGCUUUCGUGUUCGAUUUGAUUGGUUUGUUCAUGGAAGCAAGGUUAAAAGGAACAGUUGGGGGUAUUCAUAUUCACUAGUUAGAGGUGAAAUUCUCGGAUUUAUGGAA
rnacentral:rRNA from 1 species